rnacentral:rRNA from 1 species
UACGUAGGGACCGAGCGUUGUCCGGAAUCAUUGGGCGUAAAGAGCGUGUAGGCGGCCCGGUAAGUCCGCUGUGAAAGUCGGGGGCUCAACCCUCGAAUGCCGGUGGAUACUGUCGGGCUAGAGUGCGGAAGAGGCGAGUGGAAUUCCUGGUGUAGCGGUGAAAUGCGCAGAUAUCAGGAGGAACACCGAUUGCGAAGGCAGCUCGCUGGGACGUCACUGACGCUGAGACGCGAAAGCGUGGGGAGCAAACAGG